ACGGCAGGCUGCGUCAGCAGUGGGCGUGUAUCUCAGUAGGGACGGGUUGCCUCGGCAACGGCCGGCUGGGUCAGCAGUGGGCGUGUAUCUCAGUUGGGGCGGGUUGCCUCGGCAACGGCUGGCUGCGUCAGCAGUGGGCGUGUAUAUCAGUUGGGGCAGGUUGCCUCCUUAGUGGUGGACGCCCCUCCCCCACAGAGCGUCUCGGACGUCUGCCCGGGAUAGUUUGAAAUCGCGGUUUUGUUCGUCCCACUGGGUGUCCCAAACGAUCUGUCCCUGCAAUCCCCUGGGCUGGGCUACUGUGCAAGUCUCGUUCAGUCUCAAGUCCAGCCCUCUCAAGUCUCAGGUUGCCGGUUCAACAAGGCACCCGGACAAGCGCGCCCUGUGGGGAUUGCUGGGUAGGGCCGGCCGCUGCCGCCCCGGCUGCCGGCUUUGCCAGGCAGACCUACUGCCUGGCGUCCCGUGUCUUUUUAUACUUGGGAGUUUCCCCGUUCUGUGGGCAACAAAGAUCAGUCUGGAAAUGCAGCACUGACUCACCGUUUGCGAAUUCAACGCGGGCUCCAAUCCUGGGUUGUUCUCACAGCGCCAUCUUGAGUCCCCUCCGGACAUUCUUUUUUUUACUCAAGUGGUAGCAUACUGCCCCUGACCUUUUUUUUUCAUUUAACAGUAUAGCUUCUAUGUUAGUAGAACAUAGAAGCUUCUGUUUCAGUAGAAAUAAAAAUGUUUUAUUCUUUUAAAGUGCUUCAUAAUAUUCUGAUGCACAGCUUUCUCACAAUUUAUGUAGUGACUCCGAUAUUGAUGUUGUUUCCAACAUAUUGCUAUUUCAAACAAUGCUACAAUGAAGACUCCUGUGCUACUGACAUGAAGACAUUUUGAUGUGAUCAAAACAAACCAAAAAGAAUGAAAGGAAAACAUUUUUAUUUGCUUAUUUUUAUUUUAGAUUCAGGGGGUACAUGUGCAGGUGUGUUACAUGGAUAUAUUACAUGAUCCUGUGAGCUUCAACUGAACCUGUCACCCGGGUAGUGAACAGUAUCCAAAAGACACCCACCCUUUCCAGCCUCUGGUAAACAUCAGUCUGCUGUCUACCUUCAUGACAUCACCUUUUUAAACUCCCAUAUAUGAGUGAGAACAUCUGGUAUUCGUUUUUCUGUGCCUGGCUUAAUAUAUUUCACUUAACAUAAAAACCUUCAGUUCCAUCCAUGUUGCUAAGAAUCUCUGUACCUGCUGGGUGGAUGAGAAGAGUUAAAGCAGGAGACCCGGUAGAAGGCUGUAGCAGUGGUUCUGGUGGAGGAAGAUGGUGGCCUGGACCAGAGUGGUUGCAGUGGAAGUGCAGAGAAGUUGUCAGAUUCUGGGCAUAUUGUGAAGAUUGACUUGCCCAUGGACUGCAUGUGACAGUGGUGGUCUCAAGCUUAUUUUAAGUCAUGGAACCAUUUCUUCAAAUUAGAGCUUACACAGAAAUACAAUAUGUAAACCAGAUAUUAGCUCUGGAUGAAGUACAGGUAAGGACUUGGCAUCUUCAUUUCCAGCUUCAUCUACCUCUCUCCUUGUACACCUUGUUCCAUCCUCCAACCAUCAGGAUAUAAUCAGAACCCCUCAGUGUGGCCUAAACAACUUCCUUUCUACCCAUAAGUUGCCACGCUGGCUGCACUUAGUUUGAACUUAGAUGAAAAUCUAACUUAUGAACCAAACUGGGACAUUUUUGAAAAUAAGUUGUUAAAAAAUUAAAAUUAUAUAAGUUUUGAAAUAUUUACUUAUUGUUCAACAAACUGGUUUUAUGUUAUUGUUAGGCAUAUAAAACAGUUCCAUUAAAACUGUUUUAAAAGGUCAUUCUAAAAAUAUUAAAGCAAAAAUUAAAAAAAGCAAAAAUAACAAAAAAUUAUUAAAGCAGAUAUAUUGAUUGACUAUUUUAACAAACACAAGUGUACUAAUUAUUUUUUAAACAUAUCACUGUAUUUCACUUAGUUUCUUAGUUGGGUUUGUCUCUAGGACUAUAACACUGUUGCUCUUCCUCCUCCCUUCUCUUCUUUCUUUUUUCUUUUCUUUGAGUAAAUAAUGCCUUUUCCCCAAUAUGGUUCUAAAAUGUUAAUAGAAUUGUCUCUAAUCUUCAAAAUAUAAUUUUAUGAUAUGUAAAUGGGAAAUUUUUGAUACAUUUACUUCUUUCUGAAAAUUGUAUUUUUAAUGAGAAUAUAUUCUCUCUGUGAGUACUGAGGUAAUCAGUAGUAAGCUCACAACAAAUGCGCUAAAUAGAAGAUCUUCUCAAUUCUCUUUUAAAAUAUAUUAAAGUGAGUAAACAUUUUAGCCUAGAUAUUUUUGUUUGAAUCCAGAAUACCUUUGUUUGACAGGCACUUUUUAAAAAAAAUUGUACUUUAGGCUCUGGGGUACGUGGGAAAAUCAUGCAGGAUUGUUGCAUAGGUAUAUACAUGGCAAGGUGGCUUGCUGCCUUCAUCCCCCCAUCUCCUCUACUGGUAUUUCUCCCCUUGUUAUCCCUCCCCCUCUUCCCCGCUCCCUGCUGUCCCUCCCCUAACCCCCGCUCCCAACUGACUGCAGUGAGUGAUGCUCCCCCUCCCUGUAUCCACAUGUUCACUUCUAUAAGACAAAUCUUGUUCAUGAAGGUUUCUCAGGGCCAGGCUGCUAACUAGUCCUAGUUAACUAGUGCUAGGCCGUGAGCUGGCAUGCACUCUGUGCCUACCCAGUGGCUUCUGGAGUGGGUUUGAGGCACCCCCCAGUGAGCUUCAGUGUUGUCAUCCUAGGAACUCGUUCCUGUGACAGCAGAAACUUUUUGAGAGCAGAAGGUGGAUCCUAAAAAAGACAAGCAGGAAAGGGCUGCUUGAAAAAUAAGAUGUGAAAACAGGAAAAGGCUAGCCAAGAGUUCACUCUUGUUGCAGCUUUUAUUACCCUUGUGAGGUUCCUGGAUAAAGUAAGCCAGAGGCCUCAGGUGGAGCUCUCCUUGGAGGAGAGUGAGUGGAGAGCUCUGCUUCUCAGGAGUGGUCCCUGUACAAGCAGCAAGAGCACGUGAUGGACUGGGACACCAUCAGGGCCGUGCUGGAGGCUCAGCAGGAAGCUCUACAGGAGCUGCCACUCAGUCCCCUGAGUUCCCCACUGAGGCCAUCAGGUGAGACCACAGCAUGUUCCCCUUUGAGAGAGAUGGUCCAGAUUACACACUACAGGUCUCUAACUACCAGCCCCCUAAAGGCAGGUACAAUGACAUCACCAAGGUGUACACACAGGUAGAGCUGAAGAGAGAGUUGCAGCACCCGACCUUGGAACACUAUGCCCUGAGAGUCAGAAUGACCAGGGUUCAGGUCAGGUUUCCACAGAAUUAGGCAUGCUAUUAAUAAAUACGUGUUUAAUUUAAAAAGAAAAAAAGAAAAGGAAAAAGAAGGUUGUCUUCAUGAUUGUUUAGAACAUUUCACCAAAUUUAGGUUUGGCAAAAGAGUAGACUUCUCAACUUUAUUUCAUUCUAUUCUCUAUUCUGGAACAGAAUGUCAAUUUAUCUGAUUAAAUAUAGGAGCUCCAUCAAAAGACUUUUCAAGUUGAAAUAUUCCAAAGUGCAGUUACGGAAUUUCAAAAUUAAGUCCUGUAUACUGUUUAAAUUUUUAUUGUUGAUAUUUGUUCACGUCCUUGUUUUUGUACAAAUUUUAUUUGCUCUUUUGUAAGUUUUGUUUUCAAUAGCCUUAAUUCUCUAAAAAGCUUUGCAAGGUAAAGGUUUUUGUUCUUCCACUUGUUGAAUGCCUUGAUUUAAAAUUUCAAUACUUGUUAAUAAAAUGUGAUCAAAAUUUAGAAAACUUGUUUACAAGAGUUGUAGACCACUUACGUUGACUUGAAAGUAAUUUAUUUGAAUAAUCAAACAUUUCAAUUAAAGCUUCGUGAUAUGGUUUGAAUUUGUGUUCCCACCAAAAUCUCAUGUUGAAUUGGAGGAGGGGACUAGUGGGAGGUGACUGGAUCCUGCGGGUGGGUUCCCCCUUGCUAUUCUUGCGUUAGUGAGUUCUCAUAAGGUCUGAUGGUUUAAAGGCGUGUGGCACGUCCCUCUUCUUCUUCUCUCCUGAUUUGUUAUGGUAAGAUGUGCUUGUUUUCCCUUCAUCAUGUAAGUUCCUUGAGGCCUUCCAGCCUCAUGCUUCCUGUACAGCCUGUGGAACUGUGAGUCAAUUAAACCUCUUUUUUUCAUAAAUUACCCCAGUCUCAGGUAGUUAUUUAUAGCAGUGUGGGAACAGACUAAUAUAUUUCAAUUAAAGAUUUAUUCUUGAUAGGCCCAAAACAUUGGCUGAUGGGGAAAUGGGGCUUUUAGAAUACCAGAUACAUGUUAGGAGAGGGAGGAAAGUAAGUGAGCAUGUCUUAUUCCCCUCUGAAAUGGUAAGGCAGCCAUCAUCUUAGCUGUCUAUAGUGCUAUGGGCCACUGGAAAACAGCCGUUUCUUAAUGUCUUGGCCAUCAGGAAUGGUCAUCCAUCUGGCAAACAUUUUCACUGUGCCUACCAUAGGUUAGAUAUAGAUUGGGGUGCUGGGGUUGCAGAAUCAAACUCUUAAUCUUUUCUCAGAAUGAACCUAUGACAGGUGAGAGGAAAAAACCAUUUUACCAGCAUAUGCUGGGCCUUGCGAUGGAGCUAUAAACAGGGUCUUGUAGGAGCAUAAAAGCAAGGAAAUGCAGACUGCUUGGACAAGACAAGCAAAGGCAGCUCCUGAGCCGAAGUUGAGGACAAGUAGGCCUUACCCAGCCUGUCAAAAGGCAGGCAUUGGGCAAAAAAGCAAGCAUCUAUGUAGCAUAGUGACUGAGGACGCCUAGCAUAUUUAGGGAAACUUUCAAGUAGCUCUGUAUCCUGGAAGUUGAGUUUGUGUUGGGAGUGCAGAAAGUGAGAAAUUUGCCUAAUAUCAACUCAUCAGAGACUGGUGAAUGCUACAGGGAAAGGAUUAGUGGCAAUUUAGAUAAAUUUCUGAAACUUUUGAAUUUCAUAAAAGAUGACCUCUCAGUGACAAUGAAUUUUAUACCAAAAACUCUGUUUACUUUUGUAUAGCCUUACUGAUAGGUUAGAACAGGGCUAUCUCUUUGAGAUGACAGAUUACAGGAGACAUUGCUCAAUUGAUAGCAUCAGUCUAUCUUGGUCAAGUGUCUUAGCUUUACAAAUUUAUCAUUUAACACCAACAGUACAAAUCUUCAUUUGGCGAAUAGCUCAAAGAUCAACAGGAAGCUGUCUAAAACUACAGCAGUGUCCAAGCAAGCAAGGCUCCACAGUGAGGGAGGAAGUGGAAUGAAGGGGAGGAGAUGGCCGACUUGAAAGAGUCCUAGAGUUUGAUUGUGGGCCAGUGAAGCAUUUCAGUUUUCUGGAUAGUUAUGAAAACUGAACUUAUGACUCCAAAUGUGGGUUCAAAGGGAGGGUGGGAUGCUGAAAUAUGGUUUUUGCUAUUGUGUAGGCAAGGUUCCUGCCUCAAGAAGAGGUUUGGCAGUAACAAAGGUUAGCUCUCCUCCUGGCCAUCACUCUGGAAAGUGUUCCCACGACAUGGCUGACUUAAAAAGUAAGUAUCAUAUCACAUGAGCAGUACUGAAAAGAGGCAGAGCUGAGGGGAAGAGGGAAGCUUCUGUGUACACAUCAACUUUACUCUGACCACUGUACCUUUCCUUUCAGUUUGUGGGUGGCUUAGGAAACCAAAGUCAGACAACAUAGUUGGCUUUUGGGGGAUAAGAACUGUGUCGUUUGGAUGUUUCUCGUAGUGCUUUUACAGGAUAUCCCCUCAAAAGAAGCUGAACACAUUAAAAAAAGAAAGUCUGGCACAUUUCAAUGCUGCGUUCAAAUCUUCUGUUUUCCUAAAGAGGCCAUCAGGUAUCAGUAGCAAAUCACUUUUGUGGGUUAUAAAAGGAAGGAGACUUGCAGCUCUAAAAUCUUAAAUUCUCUGUUCCAUGUUCUAUGUUUUAUAAAUAAGCAUAAUUGGUGUUCAGAAAAGAAAUCUGCAAUCUCAGCCUACUUCAGGAUGUUGGUGAGAUGACUAAGCUUUAAAUGCCUUAAAAGUCAGGAUGUUUGAGCAGAAGGGGGCAAAAUGUCUAGACAGAACAGAUGGUUUAAACUGCCUGGUGAUGUUUAGUCGGAAUUGACCUUAGCAGUUUUUCCUCUGGGUGAAUAGCUUGUGAUUUGUGAGUGUGAAGUGGUUGGACUGAAAUGCUUUCUACUCUGAAGUUGUAUGACUUUUUUUUCACUUAUUGAAUAAAGAUAUUGAUGGAAAAGACAUAAUUAUCAAGAUAAAACUGUGUUUUAAAAUAAUACUUUUAAGUAUUAGACUGUAUUCCUUUGUCGUUAUGCAAA